rnacentral:rRNA from 1 species
GUGCUAGCAGCSRCRSKRMUWYCAGCUCCAAUAGCGUAUAUUAAAGUUGUUGCAGUUAAAAAGCCCGUAGUUGAACUUCAGGCUUGGCUGGGCGGUCCGCCUCACGGUGAGUACUGUCCGGCUGAGUCUUACCUCUUGGUGGGCCGGCAUGCCCUUUACUGGGUGUGUCGGGGAACCAGGACAUUUACCUUGAGAAAAUUAGAGUGUUCAAAGCAGGCAUUCGCUCGAAUACAUUAGCAUGGAAUAAUAGAAUAGGACGUGCGGUUCUAUUUUGUUGGUUUCUAGAGUCGCCGUAAUGAUUAAUAGGGAUAGUUGGGGGCAUUUGUAUUUCAUAGUCAGAGGUGAAAUUCUUGGAUUUAUGAAAGACGAACCACUGCGAAAGCAUUUGCCAAGGAUGUUUUCAUUAAUUAAGAACGAAAGUUAGGGGAUCGAAKACGAUCAGAUACCGUCGUAGUCUUAWCCAUAAACUAUGCCGACUAGGGAKCGGAUGAUGUUAYYUMGUCMSCGACCCCCUACGCGCCUUACAGAAAAAAAUGAAAAA